UAUGUCCCUUGGAAAGAGCACGCCCAUGGGUUCUCUGGGCGUGUCACAGGAAGACAUUCUCCAGCCUCAAGACUAAUUUACAUGGAAAUCAGAUGGAAUGUCUGGUGCUGCAGGUUGUUAAAUUGUAAGGAAUGGAGACCCAGUGUAUGGCAGAGUGCCCAAGGCCUUAGAUGGUGGAACAAGAAUUCAAAUCCAGGUCGUCUGGCUAAUCAGAAAGAAGCCUUACCAGAUGGAACUUUCAACAUUAUGUAACCUGGACUCCUGAUCACAGGGAAGAAUG